CCUAUCGACGGUGCCGUGCCUACAGCCCAUUUGUAUAGUUAUAACAGUGGACCCGAUACAAACUCAUCAUUAACCGCGUUGGAAGAUCUCACAGAUGAUGUGGGCGAACCUGGGUCCUACAUGGACCAGCUAUUGAGUGUUAAACAACCAUCGCGUUUGUCCAUGAAGAGACGGUCAGCGGAACCAGUCACCAUUGAGCCCAGCAAGAAGGCUAACACACCCAUUGUGUCUGACGAGCUGGUGCCGGAAAUCCAACUACCUACGGUGGUUUGUGGGAGUAGCGACAUCGUGGAAUUGACAGACCAGCUGACGAGUAUCUGCGCGUGGACAGACAAUGAGAUAACUAACUGGGAUCAAGCGGACUUCAACUGGGACAGUGGCUCGCUCACAGCUGAAGCAGCAAGGGGCGAGAACGAUCAGCAAAGACGUGACGGGUUGGUCAACAACGAUUGUGACGGAGCAGUGGCUACGCCUGCAACAGGGACACACGUCAGCGUACUACAGACAACUACAAACGACAAUUCUGGACUGAUAUCGCAACUAAACUCAAACAGCGGAUCGCAACACCAACAGACACAGACCCCAGUGGCUGAUCAGAGGUAUGGGCAAGGCCUUAUUCAAAAUGGUGAUGUGGUGGGUGCAGUAGGUGUAGCUAGUACAAGGCGUUUGGAUAGACAGCUAGCAUCACGUGUGAGGUAUCUAAUGCAUGAAACACGUAGUAUAAAGACAGAUGUGAAUGAGACAAAGGGGAUAAAAGCUAUAGUGGUAGGAAUGCGUUGUGGUAUGAGAGCGUUACAUUCAACAGUGGCGACAUUGGCUGGUGAAUUCACAGGUUUUAACUCUGUAAUGGUUAAGGAAUUGCAUAGUGUCAAUGCUAAAGUGGAUGCCCAGGGCUUAACGUUGAAUAGGUUAGUCUCUGCUAACAGAGAAGUAAACAAUCUUAGCACCGUAGACUAGGCUGCUCUGCAUCAGUGUUUAAAAGCUUUGAAAACGACAUUGAGAUGUUGAGGUGGUGUCUGUUUGGCAUUGUAUUUGGUUUAUGUAUUUUUUUCCACAGCUUUUAUGUAAUGUUACAGUGUGUUUGGCUCUUUUUUUCCACAGGUAAUGUGUAAUAUGGCAGUGUUUGGGUCUAUGUUUUCCUCCACAGAUUGUGUAAUAUUGUAGGGUGUUUGGCUCUAUGUUUUUGUCCACAGGUGUUAUGUAAUAUUGUAUUGUGUUGGGUAGAUGUUUUUUUCCACAGCUGUUAUGUGUUAUUGUAUCGUGUUUGGCUAUGUUUUCCCCCAUAUAAUAGUUUGCACUGUUGCAUAUCUGUCCAUAUUUUCCCCCAUUUAAACUGGGUAAUAAGGGUUUAUACUUUUUAAAUAUUCUGUCUGUUGUCUAGAUUAUUGGUUAAGUGCUAUUAGUAUCUUUAUUGGUAGUCAAUUGAGUGGGUCGUGACAUAAAUAUGUUGUCCACCAACAAACGCAAGCGUAGUGAUCCAAACCAGGGUAACAUAAUUACCCUGAGCGAAGAUAUCCGACAGCUGAAUGUAAUGCUUAACACAUAUUGGCCUGAUAACCACACACACAUCACAGCCCCGUAUGAUAGAUAUACAACGGAUGAUGAAAGUGCAGUGUAUAAUAAUAUUGUACACAGGGGCCUCAAUGAACAUAGUUCAGUUGAUGGUCGUGCAGGUUCUGACGUUGGUAAUAGCUUAGACAGGCAUGAAGAUAUCCGGCAGCUGAAUGUAAUGCUUAACACAUAUUGGUCUGAUAACAACACGAACCACGCAGACCCGUAUGAUACACAGACAGCGGCUGAUGCAGGUUCAGUGAACAAUAAUGUUGUACCCAGGGCCCUCAAUGAACAUGGUUCAGGUGUUCUGCAUGUUGGCUCUGGCGUUGUUGGUAUGAUACCCGUGACUGGCGAUAGACAGUGUCUCAAUCCUGUUUUAGUUGAUAGGCGCAACAGACGGGAUGUAGAUAUUGGUGUGCUAGGUGCUGGUGUUGUACUAUCGACUAGUCAUGAUUGUUGUAGUGUUGUGGUGGAUGUCGGCAGUGUUUUACAGAGGGGUUCUGGGGUGGCAAGACCUGUUACCCCUAUUGUGUAUAACAGGCAGAAUCUGGAUAGCGUAGCCAUAGAGGCGUUGGUACGACAUGGUGGUUAUGUGGGUGACUAUCGUAUUGAGGGUCGUCCGCGUUUUAACAGUAUGAUGGUGCAUAGAUUAGUAAACUUUAGGGAUGUUGUGGCUACAGAUAUGGCAGCGUAUAUGAUGCAUAUACAUGAUGCAUUGGAUGAUAUUGUCGCUGUGUCAAGACUACUGGCCGGUAAAUGGCAUCCUUAAUAUCACAUUGAGAGGGCCUAGUCUUACAGGUGAUGUGAAUGUCAUGUUGACCCCAGUAAAUGGCUAUGGUUUAGACGAUCUUAUUGAGGCUAUUGAGAAAGUGUUGCAGAGCAAUACAGCCAUCUCGACUCAUCAAUCUUUAGAGCUAACCUUAGCUAUCGCCCGUAAUAGACACGGUGGAGCCCGUCGAAAAUUACGGGAUCUGGCCCAUGAUGAGGUUAUUAAGAAGAAUAGGAUGCACUUGUUCUCACCUCUUAAUAGGUCAAAUAAUCUCUGCUUUGCCCUGUCUUUAGCAAAUUAUCUAAAUCCACACACCACAUCAGAUAGUUUAGAGGCUAUUGCAGUAGGUAUGCAGAGACGUGUGGGGUUCACACCAGAACAGAUGAUAUGCUUUAGUGAUGUUGCUAAAUUUGAGACAGCGUUCAACGUUAAAGUUGUUGUCUUUUACAGGGAUAAUGAUGGCCAAUUGAUACAUUAUCAGGGUAAUGACACACCGCCCGAUAGAACAGCUCAUUUUUACUUACAUGACGGUCACUAUCAUGGGAUUCUGAAUCUGAAGGGCUUCAAGGGUGUAACUUAUGUAUGCAAGUUUUGUUACAUGGGGUAUGAAGAUAGUACACACCAUCGCUGUAAAUACACAUGCGAUAUCUGUCAUGAUCAUGACUGGCACAGGAUGCAAGGGGUAGCUAUACAUUGUACAUUGUAGCCGGUAUUGCAAAUCUAAUUAUUGUUUUCAGAAGCACAAGCAAGCAGUGCCCCGGUGUCGUUCAGGUUUUUUAGCAUCCCCUUGUGAUAUAACUAAAUAUUGCAAGGAUUGUAGCAGACGUUAUCGGGUGUGUGUGGAGAAUCCUAAAGUACAUACAUGUGCUGAAGCAGUAUGUCACCAUUGUAGACAGCGUCUGACCCCUGAUGGCAAUCACAGCUGUUUCAUACAACCUAUCAAACAGCAGAAGGUGGAUAAUAAAUACAUUUUUUUUUCAUCUAGAGACCCGCUUUGAAGGUGGUAAACACAUGGCUAAUUUUGCCUGCGCCAUAACCGGUGACAGGUAUGAGUUUACAGCUGAGAUGAUUGCGUACCCAGGCUUUUCAACCAUUUUAGAUGCUCCAAGUAUAUUGGACAUACAUUGAUGGCACACAAUGCCGCCGGGUUUGACAACAUAUUGCUGUUGGAACACUUCACCAACAUGGGUGUCACCCCACAGGUGAUAAUGACGGGGUGUAGUCACCUAUAUGUAUGACGCACGCUUUAAACAACAGUUCAUAGACAGCUAUUCAACCAUUCCUAUGCGACUGGCUAACACCCCCGCUGCCUUUAACCUGGCCACUAGCGCUAAGGGAUAUUUCCCAC